AUAAAUAAUAACCAAAUAAUUUAUAUUUCUGAACAUAUCUAUGUCUAAUAACAACCAAUUUUAAAAUAAUCUCCUAUUAAAAUAAAUUAUUUCUAUAUUCUAUGUAAAUAACCAAUUUGUAUAAUUAUUUUUCUAUGUGUACCUUCAUUAAAUUUUUUAUAUUCAGUCGCGUUUUACAUUUUGACUGUGGUAUACCUGAUGAUGAAUUUUUAAUUCGAAACCGGUCGUAUAAUACACAUAACAUAAUACUCUAGGCGGAUGAUUUCCGUCGACCCGUUAACGAUAUAUUCCACUUUUAAGUUUAGGUAGGAGGAAAAUAGUAGAAUAUUAAUUAAUUAAAACGCCGCGCCGCCACACGAAUGACGAUGCUCCACUACUCUCGGUCGCCCCCUACCUAAGCUCAAAAGUGGAAUAUGUCGUUAACGAAUUGACAGAAAUUAAAAUAAAUAUACACUUAAAAUUGUAUAGAUUACAAAAAAAAAAAAAUUAAAUAAACGAAUGAACGCGAUUUGCGUUUCACAUUUUGACCGUGAUCAAUCUAAUCGUGAAUUUUUUAAUUCGAAACCGUUCGUAUAAUACACUUAUCAUAAUACUCCCGGCGACGCAUUCA